GUGCGGCGGGGCCCUUUACAUGGCAAGUCGAGCGAAUGGAUUGAGAGCUUGCUCUCAAGAAGUUAGCGGCGGACGGGUGAGUAACACGUGGGUAACCUGCCCAUAAGACUGGGAUAACUCCGGGAAACCGGGGCUAAUACCGGAUAAUAUUUUGAACUGCAUGGUUCGAAAUUGAAAGGCGGCUUCGGCUGUCACUUAUGGAUGGACCCGCGUCGCAUUAGCUAGUUGGUGAGGUAACGGCUCACCAAGGCAACGAUGCGUAGCCGACCUGAGAGGGUGAUCGGCCACACUGGGACUGAGACACGGCCCAGACUCCUACGGGAGGCAGCAGUAGGGAAUCUUCCGCAAUGGACGAAAGUCUGACGGAGCAACGCCGCGUGAGUGAUGAAGGCUUUCGGGUCGUAAAACUCUGUUGUUAGGGAAGAACAAGUGCUAGUUGAAUAAGCUGGCACCUUGACGGUACCUAACCAGAAAGCCACGGCUAACUACGUGCCAGCAGCCGCGGUAAUACGUAGGUGGCAAGCGUUAUCCGGAAUUAUUGGGCGUAAAGCGCGCGCAGGUGGUUUCUUAAGUCUGAUGUGAAAGCCCACGGCUCAACCGUGGAGGGUCAUUGGAAACUGGGAGACUUGAGUGCAGAAGAGGAAAGUGGAAUUCCAUGUGUAGCGGUGAAAUGCGUAGAGAUAUGGAGGAACACCAGUGGCGAAGGCGACUUUCUGGUCUGUAACUGACACUGAGGCGCGAAAGCGUGGGGAGCAAACAGGAUUACAUACCCUGGUAGUCCACGCCGUAAACGAUGAGUGCUUAGUGUUAGAGGGUUCCGCCCUUUAUGCUUAAGUUACGUAUUAAGUCUCCGCCUGGUGAGUCCGGCUCUAAGGUUAAACUCAAUGAUUUGAAGGGGCCUACACUAUUGUGUACAUUUGGUCAAUUGAACUACGCUAAUACCUUUC
rnacentral:rRNA from 2 species